UACGGGGGGGGCAAGCGUUGUUCGGAAUUACUGGGCGUAAAGGGCUCGUAGGCGGCCAACUAAGUCCGACGUGAAAUCCCCAGGCUUAACCUGGGAACUGCGUCGGAUACUGGAUGGCUUGAAUCCGGGAGAGGGAUGCGGAAUUCCAGGUGUAGCGGUGAAAUGCGUAGAUAUUAGGAAGAACACCGGUGGCGAAGGCGGCCCACUGGUCCGGUACUGACGCUGAGGUGCGAAAGCGUGGGGAGCAAACAGG
rnacentral:rRNA from 1 species